AAUUAAUCUAUUUGGAAGAAGAUCUGAAAGACUUCUUUAUAGAAUAUUUAGACCCAAAACUAAAAAAUAAAAAUGAUUCCAUAGAUAAUGAAUCAAUUAAAAUGGAAAAAGAUAUAUAUAAAUUAAUUCUUAACUUAAGAAGGAGAAUUAAAGAAUUAAACAUAAUUAUUCAAGAAAAAAUAUUGGUAAAAAAUAGUGAAUUU
rnacentral:lncRNA from 1 species